CUGCUGUUCAAAGAUAUAAACCUUUGAUUGAUGACUUGUUUAGUUACUUCCAUCCGCGAACCUUGCUGGUGAGAAUGGAUAUGGAUGCACCAGAUUAUAACUUUAUACAGUUCCUAUUAGAUGAACUGAAAGACUUGGAAGGGAAAUCGGGAAUGCAAUGUGGCAAGCGAUAUAAAUACAGUAAUAACAUGUUCUGGCUUUGUUUCUUGAAAGAUUAUGAGAUCCUCGAAUCAACAACAAGACAACUCAGCUUGCAAUUCCAAUGGCGCCUCCAUUAGAAAAGCCCCCUCGGCGACAGGCUUUAUCUGAAUAGCUUAUAUCAAGAUAGAAAAGCUGUGUUAGUUUGAUAAUGGUCAUAGUCAGUAUUCUUCAUGAUAUCUGUGAUGCUAUAUACAUUCAAUUUAUAAUUUGGAAAGACGAAGAAAUGUUGAUGCAAAUGGAGUGUGGCGCACAGCUAGUUUCUUACAAUGGAGAAUAAAAAAUUAGGAAGGUCAAUGUUAAUGGUAGUGGCACUGCAGCGACAAGAUGCAUUUCAAGUUUCUUCUCACUCAAAACUGUCAUGGGCGAUAAAGUUUCAGGAUGUUUUUGAAUUUUGGUAGAACAACAACUCCGCCUAUACAUCCCAAAGUCUCUGGAGCUGCAUUUCUGUAGAUCCUUUAAUUCUGCAAUUGUCUGAAUAAAACGAACUAUGGAUCAAAAUAUUGACCUACGAGUCAGAUAUUUUAGUUUGAAGAAGUGCGUUUUGAUUGAAAAAGGUGCUUUGGCGGCCUUUUUUGGGGUAAACAGGAGAUGAUCUUUUGCCUAUAUAUUUAAUGGGGUGCAUCAAUUUGCAGUGGCACUUCCAAGCUAACCCAAUGUAAACCAGUUUUGCUGGCUACUAAGGUGCUAUAG